GUUCUAAAAGAACAAAAAUUAAGCAUUGACAUGAUCAUGGCAACAUAUAUCAUUUUCAAAAGUAGUAUUAAUUUACACCUACUGUUCAGAAUGGAUCUUCUGCUUUUCCUUAUUCUCAUGCCAUUUACUAAACUCAUUUUACUCAUGUACUGUCUCUACUGUGAACUGCAAAAUCUGCUUUAUUUGCAUGUUUGCCCAGGACUUAGCAAAACAGGAGACUAGGACACAAACAAAUAAAAAAAAAAUAAAAUCAUGCCAAAACAGGCUCAGUUUCAAAAAUAGCAUCUACAACACAAAAUGACAGUGAAUGUUUACCAAAUCAGAUCUGCCAGCACAAUGAGAUACUCAUUAAAUGAAUUUUGUUAUGGAAGCUCUGUUCCCCUACCCCUUUACUAUUCACAUGUUAAAGAAAUUUCCUCACAUACUGAAAGAUGUUAAUACUUGAAUCAAAAGAAAAAGCUAAUAAGCAGCAGAGUUAGUAAUAAAUUUGUGACACAUUCCCUUUUCUUUGCAGUAAGUUAGUGUCAAACACAUUUGGAUAUAUUCUAGGUGAUAUAAUUGACCUAGCUAUUGUCAUGCAAAUUAUUGGGCUGCUCUAACUGAACAAUCUAUUUGAGUUGCUACAAUACACUGUUUGGGAAUUGACAAGGCAUGGGGUGGGGAUCAAUGGCUUUUUCAAGAUGACCAGCACAAAUUUUUUUUGUUUUAAAGCUGUGGUGUUGACUUAUUUUUUUCUUCCUAUUCCCUCUUUAGUUGUACAAUCUCUUCUCCUCUUGCGAUACCUUUCUUUAUCACUUGUUCCGACUCAAAUUAUACCAAUACCCACUUCAGCUUCUUAAGCAAAGAACGGAUCUUACAACAUAAGAUCAUUUCUGUGGCGUUUUGUUAUAUAUCAAUAAACAGAUUUCACUUCUCAGCUUUCAAUUACUGUGAAUCAGUUGUAGGCUUAUUUACUAUCCACAUCUAAUUAGUUGUCAAUUUACUAUGGUACUCACUGAGUUUAUACCUUCAAAGCUAGAAACUAUGUCACAAAUAAAAAUGUGUUGGAAUACCAAGGAAGGAAGGAAGCUGAAUGAAAUAACAUUAUCAAAUAAGAGGAAAAACCGUGGUUUCUUCCCCCCUUGGGGGUAUAUUCAAUUUCAAAAUGCACAAGAAAACAAAAGGACAAGCAUACUGCAUUUCAUAGUGUCUCUUUUGUUAGUUCUAGCUUGUACUUUAUUAACAAAUUUGUGUUUUCCUAGAUCAGAGUUGACAAAAAUUAUUAACAUUUUUAUGUUCAAGCAGUGAAAACAGUACAAGUAAAACUGACUUGAGGGAGAAUAUAUUUUUAUUACAAGAUGAUAAAUGUAAUUAACUUUGUCAGCAAGAUUCAAGGAGGACAGGAAGCAAACAUAUACAUGGAAUAUAUAUAUCCUGAACUCCAGCCACAAGUACAAGAUUUGAAAAUCCUGCAGAUAUUGCAGCAGUCUGAGGAAACAGCUGUCUUGAGGCCAUAAAACAACUGCACAAGGAGGUCCGACUGCUGAAAUUUGAAAUUUGUCUACUGCAGCCAGAAGACCCUAAACUCUGCUACCAGUCUUGCAGCCUCAGCAGAAACUUCCUCUUGAUUCUAGUUGGAUGCUCGACUUCAGAAAAGCCACAUACAUACUGCUACAGCAAACACAGACAGCUCAAAUCCUGCGUCAAAUUCCCAGGCUGGGCAACUGGCAGUGUGGAUUAAUAAAUUGUGGAAACCCACAAUGCACCAAGACAAAACCAAAACCAGGAAAAUGCUGUGUGAUGGGAUAACCAUUCAAUUCAAACAGGUGGUCCAAGCCAUCAGCCACAUGCCUCCAACUUCUCUUUGGCAGGGGAACAGUAGAAGUUUACACAAAAGAAGAAUUUAGUAAGCAGGACCACAGACAGCAACAGAGGCAUCAAGAAUACAGAAGACACAAGAUAGCCUAGAGCUUAGUCCAACAGCUGACGACUACGGAGUGAAGGAAGCACUCACCUGAAUUAGAAUCUGGAAAAGACAAAUAGCAUAUAUUGGUUUUCUAAAGGGUGGGGAAAAAGAAAAGAGAGCCAUUAUAUCUCCUGAAAUUACUAAACUAAAAACAAAUUAUGUACUUAUACAGCAACCAUGGCUUACCUCUUUAUCUGUGAGUUUUGAAUGUGGAGGAUAUAUUACCUACAGGAAAAAAAGUAUUAUUUUAUUUGAA